CCCCACUCUAGUGUUGCAAUUUUUCAAGGCUAUAGAACUGUAAAGGAUUCACUGCCCUAAUUUGCACUGCCCUUAUCUGAUGUCUUUUUGCGUGUUGUGAUUCAUAAACCGACCGUGCAAGGGGCUGGAUAGCUAGUCAAGGUCGUUAAAAACUUCCAUUUGUUGUUGAUUCAUAACAUUGUAUAUGAGUUUCAUAAACUUUAGAAAACAAGUUACAGUGCUGAAACAAAUAAGUUUUCAAUUUUCCAAAUUAUUAUUUUUAGGCUUAUUAAUCAUUUUCAUACAGUAAUGUCUAUUAAUACAUUUGCUUAUUUAUUUUAAUCAAAUACUGUUAAUGAAUAUGACCUUGAACUAAGAAAUGGUGACCUCAAAAUCAAUAUAUAUCUUCUUACCAUUACUGAUGACUAUAUAAGAGAACGGUUUAUAUUUAAUAUAAAGUAUUUGUGUAAGCACGCAAACAUUAACAACUGAAUGUCCAAUGGAUGCAACUCCCCUUAACUUUGUAGGAAGGGUUAUAAAAAAGGAUGUAUCAUUCAGAUACCUAUACUUGUCUGAACAUGUAAAAUAUAUAAAAAUAAUUGGUAAGAGGUAACUAUUCAUCAAAGUUCUAAUAAAGUGGACAUGAGCAAUGAUAAGCAACUAUACUGUCUUCAGCAAUGAGAAAAACCCAUUCUGUAUAGUUGGCUAUAAAGGCCAUUACAUGCAAAAUAUGAAACAAUUUCGAUCAAAAAAACUUUUGGACUAAUUCAUAACAAAACAACUCAUAAAAAACAAAUAUGACACACACACAAAUCAUUAACAACCACUGAACUACAGACUCUUGACUAUGAACCUACAGAUAAAAAAUGAGGUGGG
rnacentral:lncRNA from 1 species